AGUAUGGUCCAAUCAUAGCCAACACUAAGACGUCAAAACGCUGCAAUGCGCGUUCAAAAACUGAGUAAAAAACCACCGUAACGCCAAGGUUUUGGAAGGAAUAUCUUUUUGUGAUUUCCUAGUAGCCCCUUGUCGCUGUGCACAAUGGAUAUAUAUUGUCGCGAAAGAAAGAGGAGAAGAAAUAUAGAACUCUUAUAAAAAUUCUAGAAUUGUUCAAUGGUGGUGGCAAAUCAAUGCAAAAAAGUAUUAAAAAAACUUUAUAUGUAUGUGUAAAUAUUUUAAGCGAAUAUGCUGAAAAGGAUUUGUUUUCUGGGGGAAACGAACACAGCCAUAAAAUAAGCCUAAAUUAAACUGAUUAUAGAAAAAUUCAUUGAUAUAAGAUUACAUUAUAUUUGUAAAAAGAAACCGCUCAUAUAAAAAUGACUUCUAAAAGACAGCUUUAUAACAAACUGAAUCUGUUUAAAGGUAAUUAAACCUACAUUAUUGUUUUAAUUACUUCUGUAUAAAGAAUACGUGGAAAACAUGUUUCGUGUUUCCUUUCAUAUUUUUUUUACUUUAUUCAAUUUUAUUUUUUAUCACCUAUUUGUUGUAAUAGCGGCAAUGUAAAAUAUUAUCUACUACUUUUUUGAAUAGGUCAAAAAUAGUUGCGACCAUACAAAACAAACCUAAAACAAAUAUGUAUAUUCUGCAACUCUAUGUCUUUCAAUACUUACUGUGUUCUGAGCAUUGAAAUGUAAUACCAAGAACUACAUCUAGUUCCACAAUACAAUAAGCACGAAAUUUUAAACAAAUAUUUUUAACCUUAUAAAUUAGGCUUUAAGUAUCAUUUUAGAAUAAAUAUUUUUGUACUGAUGACUUUUUAUGUUCAAGUGACAUUUUAAAUUUAUUCCAUAAUAUUCUUUUUCUGACGAAAGGACCUAAAUACAUAUAUUUUGCAAUGGUAAUUAAACUUUAUGUUUAAGUAUUAAGGUUUAUAAUAAACUGAAGUCGUUAACAUUAUUAAA